UACGGGGGGGGCAAGCGUUGUUCGGAAUUACUGGGCGUAAAGGGCUCGUAGGCGGCCAACUAAGUCAGACGUGAAACCCCUCGGCUUAACCGGGGAACUGCGUCUGAUACUGGAUGGCUUGAGGUUGGGAGAGGGAUGCGGAAUUCCAGGUGUAGCGGUGAAAUGCGUAGAUAUCUGGAGGAACACCGGUGGCGAAGGCGGCAUCCUGGACCAAUUCUGACGCUGAGGAGCGAAAGCCAGGGGAGCAAACGGG
rnacentral:rRNA from 1 species